rnacentral:piRNA from 1 species
GAGAAGGGAAAAACUUGACCCUGCCUGCACC